UAUCCGGGACGACCCGGAUAAAUAUCAUCUCAUCGGGGACGACCCCA
rnacentral:ncRNA from 1 species